rnacentral:rRNA from 1 species
UGGGGAAUAUUGCACAAUGGGCGAAAGCCUGAUGCAGCAACGCCGCGUGAGCGAUGAAGGCCUUCGGGUCGUAAAGCUCUGUCCUCAAGGAAGAAUUUUGACGGUACUUGAGGAGGAAGCCCCGGCUAACUACGUGCCAGCAGCCGCGGUAAUACGUAGGGGGCUAGCGUUAUCCGGAAUUACUGGGCGUAAAGGGUGCGUAGGUGGUCUGACAAGUCAGGGGUGAAAGGCUACGGCUCAACCGUAGUAAGCCCUUGAAACUGUCGGACUUGAGUGCAGGAGAGGAAAGUGGAAUUCCCAGUGUAGCGGUGAAAUGCGUAGAUAUUGGGAGGAACAUCAGUGGCGAAGGCGACUUUCUGGACUGUAACUGACACUGAGGCACGAAAGCGUGGGGAGCAAA